GGGGAAUGCUGCAGAGGCACCCACAUGGCUGGACAGUUCCCACUGGUCUGCUCCAAUGAAGGCAUGGGAUGAUCGAGGCUGUUUCCAGAUGCUUUCUCCUUGAUGGUGGACCAGCACCUCGAAACAUCAGAGCACAGGUGAUUAAAACUCUCACGACAAACCUGCCAGUUUUGUGGCUGGAAGCAGCAAAGAAAGGAGCCUGUGUGAAUGCAGUUACAGAGUGAAGAAGGGAUUUUAGAAAGAGACACAAGAAAGGGAGUCUGUAUGAAUUGAGUGAAAGACACAAUUGCAGUAGCAGCUGUGGACAGAUGAACUGGUGGCCAGGAGCGCAGCCAUGAGCACACCCGUGAUCCACUUAGAGCGGCGGAGCCCACGGAGAGCCUGAGUAAAGAUAUCAAGGGCGUGGACUCUUCCCUGGGAUGGGUU